CCUACGGGCGGCAGCAGUGGGGGAUAUUGCACAAUGGGGGAAACCCUGAUGCAGCGACGCCGCGUGAGUGAAGAAGUAUUUCGGUAUGUAAAGCUCUAUCAGCAGGGAAGAAAAUGACAGUACCUGACCAAGAAGCCCCGGCUAACUACGUGCCAGCAGCCGCGGUAAUACGUAGGGGGCAAGCGUUAGCCGGAUUUACUGGGUGUAAAGGGAGCGUAGACGGUUAUGUAAGUCUGGAGUGAAAGCCCGGGGCCCAACCCCGGGACUGCUUUGGAAACUGUGGAACUGGAGUACAGGAGGGGCAGGCGGAAUUCCUGGGGUAGCGGUGAAAUGCGUAGAUAUCAGGAGGAACACCGGCGGCGAAGGCGGCCUGCUGGACUGAAACUGACGCUGAGGCACGAAGGCCAGGGGAGCGAAAGGGAUUAGAUACCCUUGUAGUC
rnacentral:rRNA from 1 species